UACGGAGGGUGCGAGCGUUGUCCGGAAUCAUUGGGCGUAAAGGGCGCGUAGGUGGCCCGGUCAGUUCGUGGUGAAAGCGCGGGGCUCAACCCUGCGUCGGCCAUGAAUACUGCCGCGGCUGGAGCACUGUAGAGGCAGGCGGAAUUCCGGGUGUAGCGGUGGAAUGCGCAGAUAUCAGGAAGAACACCCGUGGCGAAGGCGGCUUUCUGGGACGGUACUGACGCUGAGACGCGAAAGCGUGGGGAGCGAACAGG
rnacentral:rRNA from 1 species